rnacentral:rRNA from 1 species
UUUGGAAGUUAAAAUCGUAACAAGGUUUCCGUAGGUGAACCUGCGGAAGGAUCAUUAUCGAGUUUUGAAAAGGGUUGUAGCUGGCCUUCGGCAACAAGUCGGAGGCAUGUGCACGCCUGGCUCAUCCACUCUCAAACCCCUGUGCACCUUUUGUAGGCUUCGGCAGAGAGGACUGACUUCGGUCGGUUCAGGAAGCCUUGUGCCUAUGUCACACAUACAAACGCUUCAGUUUAGAAUGUAACAAAUCGUGCGCCUCGGUGCAACGAAAUAAAUACAACUUUCAGCAACGGAUCUCUUGGCUCUCGCAUCGAUGAAGAACGCAGCGAAAUGCGAUAAGUAAUGUGAAUUGCAGAAUUCAGUGAAUCAUCGAAUCUUUGAACGCACCUUGCGCUCCUUGGUAUUCCGAGGAGCAUGCCUGUUUGAGUGUCAUGAAAUUCUCAACCUUUGAAGCUUUUUUUGAGCUCGCAAAGGCUUGGACUUGGAGGUCGUGUCGGCUCGUAACAAAGUCGACUCCUCUGAAAUGCAUUAGUGUGAAACCUUCGCAGGAUCGCCUUCGGUGUGAUAAUUGUCUACGCCGUCGGUCGUGAAAGUCGAAACAUAUGUGUUCACGCUUCUAAUCGUCCGUUGAGGACAAACUUUUUUCUUGACCAUCUGACCUCAAAUCAGGUAGGACUACCCGCUGAACUUAAGCAUAUCAAUAAGCCGGAGGAA